rnacentral:rRNA from 1 species
CGCGCAGGCGGCCAAGUCAGUCGAAUGUGAAAGCCCCCGGCUCAACUGGGGAAGGUCGUUCGAUACUGCUUGGCUCGAAGAUAGGAGAGGGAAGUGGAAUUUCAGGUGUAGUGGUGAAAUGCGUAGAUAUCUGAAGGAACACCAGUGGCGAAGGCGACUUUCUGGCCUAUUCUUGACGCUGAGGCGCGAAAGCGUAGGGGAGCGAACG